AACGAACGCUGGCGGCAUGCCUAACACAUGCAAGUCGAACGAAGCCUUCGGGCUUAGUGGCGCACGGGUGCGUAACACGUGGGAAUCUGCCCUUCGGUUCGGAAUAACAGUUAGAAAUGACUGCUAAUACCGGAUGAUGACGAAAGUCCAAAGAUUUAUCGCCGAAGGAUGAGCCCGCGUAGGAUUAGGUAGUUGGUAGGGUAAUGGCCUACCAAGCCGACGAUCCUUAGCUGGUCUGAGAGGAUGAUCAGCCACACUGGGACUGAGACACGGCCCAGACUCCUACGGGAGGCAGCAGUGGGGAAUAUUGGACAAUGGGCGAAAGCCUGAUCCAGCAAUGCCGCGUGAGUGAUGAAGGCCUUAGGGUUGUAAAGCUCUUUUACCAGGGAUGAUAAUGACAGUACCUGGAGAAUAAGCUCCGGCUAACUCCGUGCCAGCCGCCGCGGUAA
rnacentral:rRNA from 1 species